UACGUAGGCAGCGAGCGUUGUUCGGAGUUACUGGGCGUAAAGGGUGCGUAGGCGGGUUAUUAAGUCAGAGGUGAAAUCCUGGAGCUCAACUCCAGAACUGCCUUUGAUACUGAUAGUCUUGAGUAUGGGAGAGGUGAGUGGAACUGCGAGUGUAGAGGUGAAAUUCGUAGAUAUUCGCAAGAACACCAGUGGCGAAGGCGGCUCACUGGCCCAUUACUGACGCUGAGGCACGAAAGCGUGGGCGCAAACAGG
rnacentral:rRNA from 1 species